GGGGGGUCCUACUCCUGCCGUCCGUCUGCACGGGACUGGGGGGCGUGGGGUGGGUUCUUCCUGAGCCCCCCCCACCCCACCUUCCGCAGUGCCCCACGGAACUGUUCCGGGAAAGUUUGAGAAGGGCCGGUCACGGACCGAGCACCGCCGCCCUUUGCCGUGACCCCCUCCGCGCCCCGAUCCCCAAAAUUUCGGGGCAGGGAUGGAGAUCUGAGAUCUCCUCCUCACCCUCCCUCUCCAAGGAAGGGAGGCCCGCGCGAGGAGAGGCUGCGCAAAAUCCGGCAAUUCCGGGUGCCCUCAUUCGCCUCCCAUCUCGCCCCACUCGUGCACAACCCAGUGCCGAACCGUGGGGGGCAGAGGUGCAGCCGGGGGGCCUCCGCGCUCUGCUCGGAGCCGCUCACGGGGCUCCCCGAGGCCCCCAGCAAGAGAGAGGGGCCGAGCGCAGCGCGUCACAGCGCGGGGACAUUCACGCAGGGGGGGCUCGGAGAUGAGAGGGUCCCUCCCCCACAUCGGUGUGGUCCCUCUUCGAGCCCCAUCACCCCUCCACAGGGCAGCACAUCUGGCCAGAUGUGAGCGGCCCGGCGCCGGCUUUUCCUCCGCACGGUUUUACCAGCCAGGAGCGAAGACACUUUUCUUUCGGAUUUUCUUUUUUUUUUUCCCCUUUUAUUUCCUAUUUAUCUCAGAAAUACGCAUCCCCGCGCCGUGUCCUUAAUUCUCCUCGCAGGCGUGGGGAGAUUGAGCUCGAGCGGUUGUGCACGGAGGGGGGGACGGGGAGGGGGGGGGGAAGGAAAAAGAGCAGCGGGCGGCAUCUCGGUUCGUGCGCUGCGCAGCUGGGCUCUUGGGAGCCGCCGGGUGCCCCAUAUCGAGCCUUUAUAUUUUAUUUUAUUUUAUUUUAUUUUAUUUUAUUUUAUUUUAUUUUAUUUUAUUUUAUUAUUUUAUUUUAUUUUAUUUUAUUUUAUUUUAUUUAUUUUUUAUUUUAUUUUAUUAUUCUAUUUUUUAUUUUAUUCUAUUAUUUUAUUUUAUUUUCACGCCAUGAUUCGUGCCAAUUUGAAAGCCGGCCGCCUCCUAAUCGUCCCUUAGGCGUGCGAUCCCGAGCCUCGGUCUGUGCGGCUGCUCAUUGUAUUUGUUUGCAUUUUUGUCUGGCUUCAGUUUGCGUAAGCGACUUUGUCGAAAAGCAGCAAACCAUGGAGCGGGGGGUUUUUCAUUUGCUAAUGAAACCCAAAACACACCCGGGCGUCUCCUGCAGUCCGCUCGUGUCCUCCUGCCCCGGGACGUCGUUGGGAUGGCAGAAAUGCGCCGUCAUUGGGAGAGCAGAAGUUUUGAACGCGGUGCGUCGCGUUCGGGAUGAAGAGCGGCCGGAUCGCGGUUCUUCUUCGGGAGGUUUUAGCCACAUGCCUGGAAGCCCCCGGAGAAGAGGAGGUUGCCCUUUUCCUGCUAGUGCUGUAGACUUCAGGGGUUGGUUGUUAUCUUUGGUUAUCUAGCUGUAUGAGUGGUGUCGAUUCUUCAUAAAGCUAGAUAACCGAAAGUAAAAAUAACCCCAUUACACGCCUGAGGAGGAUGUGGAGAAGAAAGGAAAUUCAUCGGGAGGAAGAGAAGGAAAACAAAAAGAAAAAUGAAAGAGAAAGAAAGAAAGAAGACGAAGGAAAGGAGAGGCGGAAAAAAGAAAGAACAGAGGGGAGGAAAAAAAAAAAAAGACAACUUUUUGAGACUGGAAUUAAAACCGAGCCACCUCCGCUCCUCCUUUGCUGCGGCGCUGGGGAUGCCGGAAAGAAAAGUGCAGACAGUGGCUUCCCCUGCUGUGAUGCCCCACUCGUUUCCUGGGCAGCCAAGAGCAAUGCUUGAGUCCUGGUGGAAGUUCAUUCAGAAUUGCCUGGAGCGGAGGCUGGAGAGGAAAACCACAACCACAGCAGAGCCUGGACACGGGGAGCUGCUAGCAGGACCCAUCUCAGGGACAGUCACUGUGUGUACCUUCCUCCAUCCUCCUCCUGCUCCCAGCAGCUGAUGGCCUGGAGCAGCACAGAGCAGGCCUGGCAUCGGGCUAUAGGGACACCAGGAGCACCCCGGGGAUAGGACCCAACACCAUGCCACACUGGUGGAGAACACAAAGCUGGAAGAGGGGAAAAAAAAAAAUCAACAGAAGAAGAAGAAAAGAAUGGAAACGAAAGUCUCCAAACUCAGGAGAUCUGUGUUAAUUGCUUACGAACGUCUCCAUCCCAAAAGUUAUCCGAUUGAUGUUGUCGUGCUUUUUUUUUGACAGCCUGUCUGUUAUGUAUUUUUUUUUAAAUAUUCAUGCACCGAAAUCUAAUUACUAGGCAAAUUUAAUGAUAAUGAAAUGAAGGCACUUUAGCAGAAAGCAUAGGGCCUUGUUAAUAUUUUCUCAGUCUCUGUCUUGCUCACAUUUUUUUUUUCACCGCCGCCUUUCUUGCAGUAUAAAAGAAUUGCCAAAAAUAAAACUUGGAUUGCUGAAGAUGUUUGUGGUGGCUCUUUUUAUAAUGAUGGGGGAUUUGUGAGGUGAUUAAAGGUGCUGGGCAAAAAAAUCGAGUGAGCCAAAGCUAAUCGGGUGAGGCAGAUGAAGUAUUGAUGUUAGGGAACGUUAUGGGGGAAGACGGGUGCAUGCAUGGAUGGAUGGAUGCAUGCAUGGAUGGAUAGAUGGAUGGAGGGAUGGAUGGAUGGAGGGAUGGGUGGAUGCAUGGAUGGGUGGAUGGAUGGGUGGAUGGAUGCAUGGAUGG
ensembl:lncRNA